CCUACGGGUGGCAGCAGUAGGGAAUCUUGCACAAUGGAGGAAACCCUGAUGCAGCAACGCCGCGUGAGUGAUGAAGGGUUUCGGCUUGUAAAGCUCUAUCAGUAGGGAAGAAAAUUACGGUACCUAACUAAGAAGCACCGGCUAACUACGUGCCAGCAGCCGCGGUAAUACGUAGGGCGCAAGCGUUCUCCGGAUUGAUUGGGUGAAAAGUGAGCGGAGACGGGUGUGCAAGUCAGAUGUGAAAGCCGAGGGCUAAACCUGAGGAUUGCAUUUGAAACUGUACUGCUAGAGUGUAGGAGAGGCAGGUGGAAUUCCUAGUGUAGCGGUGAAAUGCGUAGAUAUUAGGAGGAACACCAGUGGCGAAGGCGGCUCUCUGGACGGCAACUGACGCUGAGGCUCGAAAGCGUGGGUAGCAAACAGGAUUAGAUACCCCGGUAGUC
rnacentral:rRNA from 1 species